AGUCAAUAGAUACCCGGGUAGUCCACGCCCUAAACGAUGCAUAUUUGGUGUGGGCAGUUCAUUCUGUCCGUGCCGGAGCUAACGCGUUAAAUAUGCCGCCUGGGGAGUACAGUCGCAAGGCUGAAACUCAAAGGAAUUGACGGGGCCCGCACAAGCGGUGGAGCAUGCGGUUCAAUUCGACGCAACGCGAAGAACCUUACCUGGGCUCGAACGGCUGAUCAACGGCGGUGGAGACAUCGCUACCCCGGCAAGGGGGUUCGAGUCGAGGUGCUGCAUGGCUGUCGUCAGCUCGUGUCGUGAGAUGUUGGGUUAAAGUCCCGCGACGAGCGCAACCCUUGUCCUGUGUUGCCAUCAUUCAGUUGGGAACUCGCAGGAGACCGCCAGGGUAUAACCCUGGAGGAAGGUGGGGAUGACGGUCAAGUCCUCAUGGCCUUUAUGUCCAGGGCUACACACGUGCUACAAUGGACGGUACAAAGCGCAGCGAACUCGCGAGAGGGUAGCCAAUCGCAAAAAACCCGUUCGUCA
rnacentral:rRNA from 1 species